GUCAGCUUAGCUCAGUAGUAGAGCGGAAGAUUGCAAAUCUUUAGGUCGUGAGUGCAACCCUCACAGCGGACU
rfam:Pseudocohnilembus persalinus scaffold960, whole genome shotgun sequence.